UCGAGCGGUAGAGAGAAGCUUGCUUCUCUUGAGAGCGGCGGACGGGUGAGUUAUGCCUAGGAAUCUGCCUGGUAGUGGGGGAUAACGUUCGGAAACGGACGCUAAUACCGCAUACGUCCUACGGGAGAAAGCAGGGGACCUUCGGGCCUUGCGCUAUCAGAUGAGCCUAGGUCGGAUUAGCUAGUUGGCGGGGUAAAGGCCCACCAAGGCGACGAUCCGUAGCUGGUCUGAGAGGAUGAUCAGCCACACUGGAACUGAGACACGGUCCAGACUCCUACGGGAGGCAGCAGUGGGGAAUAUUGGACAAUGGGCGCAAGCCUGAUCCAGCCAUACCGCGUGGGUGAAGAAGGCCUUCGGGUUGUAAAGCCCUUUUGUUGGGAAAGAAAUCCAGCUGGUUAAUACCCGGUUGGGAUGACGGUACCCAAAGAAUAAGCACCGGCUAACUUCGUGCCAGCAGCCGCGGUAAU
rnacentral:rRNA from 1 species